rnacentral:misc_RNA from 1 species
GAAAUCUAUAUGAAUGAAGUUAGAGGACGUCGAGAGAUACUGCAGACGAAGAGCUGUAUUCCUAUACCUGCGCUUAGUUGCGCGGUAGCGGUGCGGUUCUGAGCUUGUGGAAACAAAUGUCUUUCUUCGUUGUCAACUCUGCUUCAACUUCUACAACACUGUGAAGUUUUCUACAAACAAAAACUUUCUUCUUUGGGGAUGAGUUGGUCGUCUUUUCGAUCGACUUUCCCCAGAGGUGACAAACACAAACAACUUUUUAUUAUCAUACGCUAGUCAAAAACCGAUUUCGUUUUAGAAAUUAAAAAAUAUUCAAAACUUUCAACAACGGAUCUCUUGGUUCU